AGAGUUUGAUCAUGGCUCAGAUUGAACGCUGGCGGAAUGCUUUACACAUGCAAGUCGAACGGCAGCACGGGGCAACCUGGUGGCGAGUGGCGAACGGGUGAGUAAUACAUCGGAACGUGCCCAAUCGUGGGGAUAACGUAGCGAAAGUUACGCUAAUACCGCAUACGAUCUACGGAUGAAAGCGGGGGAUCGCAAGACCUCGCGCGAAUGGAGCGGCCGAUGUCAGAUUAGGUAGUUGGUGGGGUAAAGGCUCACCAAGCCGACGAUCUGUAGCUGGUCUGAGAGGACGACCAGCCACACUGGGACUGAGACACGGCCCAGACUCCUACGGGAGGCAGCAGUGGGGAAUUUUGGACAAUGGGCGCAAGCCUGAUCCAGCCAUUCCGCGUGCAGGAUGAAGGCCUUCGGGUUGUAAACUGCUUUUGUACGGAACGAAACGGUUCUCUCUAAUACAGGGGGCUAAUGACGGUACCGUAAGAAUAAGCACCGGCUAACUACGUG
rnacentral:rRNA from 1 species